CAGUAGCCGCGGUAAUACGUAGGGUGCGAGCGUUAAUCGGAAUUACUGGGCGUAAAGCGUGCGCAGGCGGUUCGUUAAGACAGAUGUGAAAUCCCCGGGCUUAACCUGGGAACUGCAUUUGUGACUGGCGAGCUAGGGUAUGGCAGAGGGGGGUAGAAUUCCACGUGUAGCAGUGAAAUGCGUAGAGAUGUGGAGGAAUACCGAUGGCGAAGGCAGCCCCCUGGGCCAAUACUGACGCUCAUGCACGAAAGCGUGGGGAGCAAACAGGAUUAGAUACCCGCGUAGUCCCUGUCUCUUAUAC
rnacentral:rRNA from 1 species